rnacentral:rRNA from 1 species
UACGGAGGGUGCAAGCGUUAUCCGGAUUCAUUGGGUUUAAAGGGAGCGUAGGCGGUCUGGUAAGUCAGUGGUGAAAUCUUCUCGCUUAACGAGGAAACUGCCAUUGAUACUGUCGGACUUGAGUACAGAUGCUGUGGGCGGAAUAUGACAUGUAGUGGUGAAAUACAUAGAGAUGUCAUAGAACACCGAUUGCGAAGGCAGCUCACAAAACUGUAACUGACGCUGAGGCUCGAAAGUGUGGGGAUCAAACAGG